UAUUGGCCGGAGCUGGUUUUUAAAAGUGAUGCCUAUUUUGUGAGCAUUCACUCGGUGUACGCCCACUAUUCCUUUAACAUUGUCCGUGAAUAAUUUAGUUAACGUGAUGGGAUUUUUGUUUCCUAACUUUUCAUUUUCGUGUGAUUCUACAUAAACCACACAAUCCGUGCUAUGGUUGUCUGGAAAUUGUCUUUUAUAGUUUGGUUUGGUAAACACUUUAUAGUUUUCAUUAGUCACCUCUAAUUUUCUUUUCUUGGCGUCUUUGUCACCGGGGGCCCGUCCCCCGGCGCUGUUUUCACUCAUUAUUAUCUACUAUUUACAAAAUGUUACAAAUUUUCUAUUUACAGAAAAAAAAAGAACAAUUAUAUACAAAAAAUAAUAAUUAUUGAAAAAACGCAAAAUUUAAAACACCCGCUUAGUUUGACUUCCCGCCAAAAAGUCUUGUUUAGAUAAGUGCAAAUUGCAAUACUUUCGUCAUUAUAUACCUACUGGAGAGCAUAAAUCGAGCGCCUGUCCUAAGUGCAUUGAAGGGUUAGCCUUAUAUAUCAAUAAAAAAAUAUUAGUUAAGGUUGAUCAUUUUAUAAUAAGUUUAAAAAGUUGAUUUUAAAAAGUUUAUUUCUUAAAUUAUAAGGCUGAUGAAGAGACUCCAUCAUGUUUAAGUUUUUUAGUGUUAAAAGGGCUGUGUUUAGUUUAUUUAAGAUUUAGCUAAUUAAAAUAUAUGUAUAGUGUAUACACUUAUGUUUUUUUUAUUUAUUAUUAAGUUAAUUGCAUAUAUUAAAGCUGACAAUCACAUUCAUAAGCAUAUGAUAUACAAAUUCCAGCACUCAAACAUUUAUGCGUCAAAAUGACGUAUGCGGUAUGGUUAUCUUUCUAGGGUUAAAUCGACGACUGGCUUUGUGACUUGGACCUGGGUCCUGGACCAAUCCCGUAUAAGACCUACGCAUUCCCGAAAGACUGACGUUUUGUGAUUUGGUUAUUUUGGCUUUGUUACAUGGACCGCUUGGAGAUAUCAAUACUUAUCGAAAGUGACAUAAUGGAGAAUAUAGAGAGAGUUCUAUCUUCAAUAGAAAACAUUGAAAGGGUAGGAACUGCAGCCAAUAUGAAUCCACGAAUGCCUUAAGUGUUGUAUAUGUUCGGAACGAAUACAACCAAAAUCCUUCCAUCCUGUACGGUGAGAAUGAAUUCAAAAGAAGGAACCGUAUUUUGAAACACACGGUAUUAAAUGUGAUCCUGCCGCUGAUCAUUACAAACUUGCAACCUUAUAACAACAGAGGAUCGCUAAACCUACCGCAAUUGCAAAUACUUAUUGCAUUAAGGCAUAAAAAUGCAACUGGAUGUUUUCAGAUGGUGUGUGGUGAUCUGAACAGCAUAAGCCAAUCUACAGUCUGUUUAAUUAUAAAUAAAGUCUCUGCAGAGUUGAGUAAAUUA